rnacentral:miRNA from 1 species
CAUGCAUGUGCACAUGAGUAUGUGUGUGUAUGUGUGUGUACACACACAUACACACACACACACACACACACACACACACACACACACACA